rnacentral:rRNA from 1 species
AUUGAACGCUGGCGGCAUGCCUUACACAUGCAAGUCGAACGGCAGCACGGGUGCUUGCACCUGGUGGCGAGUGGCGAACGGGUGAGUAAUACAUCGGAACAUGUCCUGUAGUGGGGGAUAGCCCGGCGAAAGCCGGAUUAAUACCGCAUACGAUCUACGGAUGAAAGCGGGGGACCUUCGGGCCUCGCGCUAUAGGGUUGGCCGAUGGCUGAUUAGAUAGUUGGUGGGGUAAAGGCCUACCAAGGCGACGAUCAGUAGCUGGUCUGAGAGGACGACAAGCGACCUGGGAAGGGGAACAGCCCCCAUGGGACUGCGGGAGGCAGCAGAGGGGUAUGUGGGACAGUAGUGGAAAGCAUUGCCCAAUGGGCGGGAGUGUGAUAAAGAGGCGUCGGGUUUGGAAUGACGGUUUGCGGGGAAAAAAACGCUUGCGCCUAUUACGAAGGGGGAGUGACGGUAAUGAAUAAAGAAGCACCGGCUAACUACGUG